GAUGAACGCUGGCGGCGUGCCUAAUACAUGCAAGUCGAGCGGACGUACGAAAAGCUUGCUUCUCUGCGGUUAGCGGCGGACGGGUGAGUAACACUUGGAUAACCUACCUAUAAGAGUGGCAUAACUUCGUGAAGGCGGAGCUAAUACCGGAUAAUAUUUUGAACCGCAUGGUUCAAAAGUGAAAGACGGGCUUGCUGGCACGUAUAGAUGGAUCCGCGCUGCAGUAGCUAGUUGGUAAGGUAACGGCUUACCAAGGCAACGAAGCAUAGCCGACCUGAGAGGGUCGUCCGCCACACUGGAACUGAGGCACGGUACAGACACCUGCGGGAGGCCGCAGUAGGGACUCUUACGCGAGGGACGAGUGGCGGACGGAGCAACGCGGCGUGAGGGAUGAAGGAGUUAGGAUCGUAGAGCUCUGUUAUCCGGAAAGAUCAUAUGUGUAAGUAACUGUGCACAUCUUGACGGUACCUAAUCAAUAAGCCACGGCUAACUUCGUG
rnacentral:rRNA from 1 species